GACGUUCAAUUCGUCCUACCUUUAAUACCUAUUCUUUAUAGUCAUCUAAAACACUCAAACAAAACAUAAAAACAAAUCUCCUUAUACUACACCACCUUAACAAUAUACAAUAACUAACAGUACCGCAAGGGACACGAAAAAAUUUAUAAUAAGCCAAAAUAACCUUUUGUACUUCUCGCAUCACGGCUUAGCAAAAAAUAAACUAACAGAUCUAUCCCGAAACCGUGUGAGCUGAGUUAGCUUUGCUCUCUGCGCCCAGCAGUUUAUGUUGCAACAUAUUUGCAAAAAGCUAAUCCAGUGGCUACAUACCUCCCGCACACGGUGAUAGCUGGUUUUCUGUAAACUCUGCAUUAGCAGAACUUAAAGGAUCUCCUAACCUUUUCUUUUCAAAUAUGGAGGCUAAGCUCCAUUUUUUAAUCUAUUUUUAAUAAACAAGCAACCCUAAUCUAAGUAGGCCCUAAAGCAGCCACCUUAUUAUCAACGCGUUAUUGCAGCAAACAACGCUCAACCGCAUAAAUAUCUUACCUAAAAAUGAAAAAACUAACAGAAAACUUUCCGAAACUAAACCUCACGGAAUUACUAUUCUGCUAAGAUCAGUACCCCUCCGCUAUUAUAGACUUCAUACAUAACAAGAACACAUUCACUUAUAAAGUCCUAUAAACUACAAAAUACUAGGAAGGAACUCGGCAAAAAUGAGCUCCGACUGUUUACCAAAAACACUGCCUCACGAAAACAAAAAUGAGAGGUCCAUCCUGCCCAGUGACCUACGGGUUAAACGGCCGCGGUACCCUGACCGUGCUAAGGUAGCGUGAUAAUUCGCCCUUUAAUUGUGGGCUCGUAUGAAAGGACAAACGAGAGCUCAGCUGUCUCCCUAGUAGAACAGGAAAUUGUUAUUCAGGUGAAGAAACCUGAAUUUAAAUAAAGGACAAAAAGACCCCAUAGAGCUUUGUUGAACUCCUUACUAACUAAGAAGUAUGCCUACAUUCUUAGUUAGCAAGGUAACAACUUAACUGGGGCGGUUAAGGAAAAUCUUAAACUUCCAUCUCUAGCUCUCUAUGCAAACCAAGGCAAAUACAAGCCAAUACUAAUUUGACCCUUACUUUAAAGAUCAAAGGAUUAGCUACCUUGGGGAUAACAGAUUCAUCCCCCUUAAGAGUCCGCAUUGACAGGGGGGCUUGACACCUCGAUGUUGGCUUAGGGUAUCCAGAAGGUCAGCAGCAGCCUUCAAUGGUAGGUUUGUUCAACCUUUAAAACCCUACAUGAGCUGAGUUCAGACCGGCGUAAGCUAGGUCAGCUUCUAUCCUUAUUUAACUAACACACUUCUAGAUGUUACAAUUGUACGAAAGGACCUUGUUUCAGAACUUCAUUCAUAACACCGAAACCAAUACAGUCAAUCAACUUAUUACUAAUACCGGAACAAAACCACAAGCAGGUUGG
rnacentral:rRNA from 1 species